GGCCCUCCGUGUCCCUCAGUCGGCUCUAACCGGAGCACAUGGAGGGAGAGGGAGAGGGAGAGAGCCGUACGUUAAUGGCGACUCCUCAGAUUCUCUCUCUCUCUCUCUCUCUCUCUCUCUCUCUCUCUCUCUCUCUCUCUUUGUUGUAUUUAAAGGAGCAGUUCUCCUAUUCAAGAGCCAUUGAUCUGGUAGAGUUUGAAGAGAUUGAUGCAUGUUUUGCUGUUUUUGUUUUUUUCCCGUGUAUGAUUUGUUUGAUCUUUGGAAGUUGGGGCUUCAGAUCUGUGAUGUUGAUCGGAUUUCCUGAAGAAAAUAUGAAGCAGUUAUCCGGUUUUAUAUUUCGGUAACGAAGAUGCUGAUUAAUUGCAGAGAAGCACACCCAUCCAACAUUAUUUUCAUGUUGCAGGCUGAUCCUGGUAGCAUUUUUUCAUUCUAACAUAAGCAGAUGAUUUUUAAUUUUUAUUUUUAUUUUUUCGAAAUUGCUUUGUAAAAUGUAAAGUGUUGUCAUUUUUUAUUAUGUUCCUGGUAUGAGGAUUCACCAAAUUGUUAUUUGUUAAUUGUUCGCUUGCUUGGAGAAAGUUGCCAACAUGCAUAAAUAUUUUCACUAAAUCACUUGUUUGAGAUAAUCCAGCUGUGGAAUAUUCUAUGAUUUUAGUGAUGAAAUUGAUGAUACUAAUGAUGAUAAUUCUUUCAACAUAAUGUUGGUUUAGUUUUCUGUUUUCUUACACCCCCCCGGGGGGGGGGGGGGGGGGUUUGUUGAAUGUAGUUUUAGGGAUCUGCAUCAUAUUACUUCUAGAAUUUUGCUUUGUGAUUUAUAGUUUCUGGGUUAGAAUUUUCAAUUUUAAGGCUGACCUCCGCCAUACUAUCAUUCAUGUGGGAAUUAUGUGAACUGGGCUGUGCUUACCAUGUCAAGUAGCAUAAAUCAUGGUUUAACGCAUUUUAUUUUUCCUUUGCUCCAUUUAAUGGUGAGAAAAUAGUUUCUCUCCGAGGCUUUUCUGGCUGAAUCUAUGCAUUCUCACUUGAUUUUGGAUGGAAUUUUCAUGCUGUACGCCCAUGAUAUUUUAGUAUAAAAAUUAAUUGUGUUUAUUUGGGCAACAACCAUUUUGCCUAUUUAGAUUCUUGAUUUCUGGUUUCCCUUGCUGUUGCCCUCCUCUUCAUAAACUUCCAUUGUCCCUUGUGAUUUUGAGUCCUUGAGGCCUCUCUGUGGUGGUGUUUUAUUAGAACAGGAAACAUGCUUGUUAUUUCGGGUUUAGCAAAACCUGAAACCCAUUUUUCCCCUUCGAAAUUUUAUGUGGACAAUGGCACAAGUUCGGUAUCACUUGAAGGAUCACUUGAGAUUCCAUAGAUAUAGGGGGCUCAUGGUCCCUCUCUCACCAUCCUGUUUGGAGGUCUCUAUUGCCUUUGGUCACGGAAAGUAGAAGACUUGGGAACACAACCUUUUAGGCAAAACCCACUAACAUGGCGGCUGUUGCCAAAGUUAGAGCAUGUGCCUUCCUCUGGUAAAGGAGACAGACACCAUCCUUCGAAAGAGGAGUUUGCACUAGUGGGCGACAUCCCCCUGUUGUUGUUGAAGGAAGAAACAUGCACAUGGAGGACAGAGCUCCCAAUUGCUAGAGAAUCUGCCUGCCUUAAUGGUAACUCAUGGCAUCUGGUAUCAAAUUCCAUGUUCUAAACUGGAAUGGAAAUGAAGUGAAAAGCAUAAAUGAUUUUGUUUUCGCCGGGUAACGACUAAAAUAUUGAAAAUUUGUCUCCUGGAAUCUUUGAAAACUUUCUAGUUUGAGAAUAUUGUUUCCCCAUAUGGAUAAGCUGUAUUUAUUCUUUUGUAUCAGAGUCCUUUAUUGCAGGCCAAAAAAGUAGUUUGAAUUC